AUACGGAGGAUCCGAGCGUUAUCCGGAUUUAUUGGGUUUAAAGGGAGCGUAGGCGGGAGAUCAAGUCAGCUGUGAAAUGUAGAUGCUCAACAUCUGCACUGCAGUUGAAACUGGUUUUCUUGAGUGCGUAAGGGGCAGGCGGAAUUCGUCGUGUAGCGGUGAAAUGCUUAGAUAUGACGAAGAACUCCGAUCGCGAAGGCAGCCGGCCGGGCCGCGACUGACGCUGAAGCUCGAAGGUGCGGGUAUCGAACAGGAUUAGAUACCCUGGUAGUCCGCACAGUAAACGAUGGAUACUCGCUGUCGGCGAUAUACGGUCGGUGGCCAAGCAAAAGCGUUAAGUAUCCCACCUGGGGAGUCCGCCGGCAACGGUGAAACUUAAAGGAAUUGACGGGG
rnacentral:rRNA from 1 species